UACGUAGGGGGCAAGCGUUGUCCGGAAUCAUUGGGCGUAAAGAGCGUGUAGGCGGCCAGCUAAGUCCGCUGUGAAAUCUCGAGGCUCAACUUCGAGCUGUCGGUGGAAACUGUCUGGCUAGAGUCCGGAAGAGGAGAAUGGAAUUCCUGGUGUAGCGGUGAAAUGCGUAGAGAUCGGGAGGAACACCUGUGGCGAAGGCGGCCGACUGGGCCGACCCUGACGCUGAGGCGCGAAGGCGUGGGGAGCGAACGGG
rnacentral:rRNA from 1 species